CUCGUAGGCGGUUUGUCGCGUCGGGAGUGAAAACUCAGGGCUCAACCCUGAGCGUGCUUCCGAUACGGGCAAACUAGAGGUAUUCAGGGGAGAAUGGAAUUCCUGGUGUAGCGGUGGAAUGCGCAGAUAUCAGGAGGAACACCGGUGGCGAAGGCGGUUCUCUGGGAAUUACCUGACGCUGAGGAGCGAAAGCAUGGGGAGCGAACA
rnacentral:rRNA from 1 species